UUUUCAUCCUCACAUAAGUUAGGUUAUGCCUGUUUGGUUUUAGGUUGGGGUGACCACGGAGUAUAAAACAACCUCCAUGAAAAAAGGACCAAAAAUCCUUAUUAGAGAAAGACAUUUCUAAAAUUAAUAAAUUAAUUUUUAAUGAUCCGAUAUUCGAUCAACGAACCAAGUUACCCUGGGGAUAACAGCGCAAUCCACUUCAAGAGCUCCUAUCGACAAGUGGGUUUACGACCUCGAUGUUGGAUCAGGGUAUCCUAGUGGUGCAGCAGCUACUAACGGUUCGUUUGUUCAACGAUUAAAACCCU
rnacentral:rRNA from 1 species